GACGUAGGGGACGAGCGUUGCCCCGGAAUUACUGGGCGUAAAGGGCGUGUAGGCGGCGGAAUGUGUCCCAUGUGAAAGCGAAGGGCUCAACCCUUCGUCGUCGUGGGAAACUGUUUCGCUAGAGGGCAGUAGAGGUUGGUGGAAUUCCCGGAGAAGCGGUGACAUGCGUAGAGAUCGGGAGGAACACCGGGUGGCGAAGGCGGCCAAACUAGG
rnacentral:rRNA from 1 species